rnacentral:rRNA from 1 species
GACAGAGGCCUCAAGCGUUAGGCGGAAUCACUGGGCUUAAAGCGUGUGUAGGCGGAUCGUUAAGUGCCUUGUGAAAUCCCACGGCUUAACUGUGGAACGGCUGGGCAUACUGGCGGUCUUGAGCCAUCUAGGGGCGACUGGAACAAACGGUGGAGCGGUGAAAUGUGUAGAGAUCGGGAGGAACACCGGUGGCGAAGGCGGGUCUCUGGGCAAUUCCUGACGCUGAGGCGCGAAAGCGUGGGGAGCAAACGGG